rnacentral:lncRNA from 1 species
AGACACAGGGAUCACAUUUACGAAGGGAUCUUUCAAGAGCCUCAAAAGCAGGACUACUUCAUGAGCCAACUCGUAGUGACAAGCCCUGCCCCUGCAAGUGAGAAGGGGGGCGCUUCCAAAUCAAGCACCAUUUGUCAAACCUCGUCAGGACCUGGCUCUGCCCUCGGAGUCAGUCUGGAUCCAGGAGUGAUUCAUCUUACACAGAUGAGAGGGGGAUAAAAGGAAAAGAACAGUCAGGACAAAUGUGUUUUCAAUGGUGCUUAGCAGCAGGAGACCACUGGGACUUCAGAGCAACGCUACUGGAGUGUGACAUCAUAAUACUUUUUAAACCUGCUUGCCACCGUUAAUGUUCCUGCGGUGACAUGAAGAGCCAAAUACCAGAGUCUCUCGCCUCUUGGAGUUUAUGGGCCAAUUUCUCCCAAGAUGUGUGAGCUUGUUGUGCCGCCGCCAGUGGACUCGCCAGCGGCUGAGCAGCUCAGAGUGACAGCGACUCAGCGUCUGGAAGCCCCACUGGGUUGUGAAAUGAAGAAGGCCUUCUUUGCCCCUGAUGCAGCCUGGGCGAGCCCCGAGGCUCCAGAAGCGAGCAUCUCCCAGCUCCUAAAGAGCAGACAUAUAUCCUGCCUUUAAGACAAGACUACAAUUGCAAAUCUGAGAAUAUAAAUUACACUUUCAUCUU